rnacentral:lncRNA from 1 species
AUUGAGGCGCUCCUGCAGCCUCCUCCCGGCACGGGACUCCUCACAACCCCCAGCCUCAGCUUCCCUGACAGGGCAGGGGCUCACUCUUCUCCACUCCGGGCCAGGAACGCAGCCUGCUUGCCUUUUGUCCAAUUGGGUGCUCUUUCUUUGCGACUGAUACAAAGUGGGAACAAACUCCGCUUCCGGUGAUGCCCGGGCCCCAGGAGGCUGGGGGAGAAGUGCACGCUGCCCAGCCUUCAACCUGAACUGCCCCCAGCACUUCCGAGCCCCGACCCCUGCAGCUGUGAGGGCCCAGGGGCUGCUGGCUGCCAGGACCACCGCAUUGCAGAGGUCUCCCUUGCAGCAAGAGAUCUGGGAGUCCACAACGGCACUUAACCUGCCCUCUGCCCUGGCACCCCAGGGACUCACUGCCAAAGACGCUCACUUUCUGGGAGACACAGACCCCAUCCAGGAAGGGGCACGAGACCACGCUGCAGGAGGCCCCUUCCAAGACCGCCAAGCAUCUGUAGCAGCGCAGACCCUGAGCUGGGAGAGAGGGCAAGGGCCACCAGCAGGACCAGGGACAAGGUCUUCAUGGCCUGGAGACUGCUCAUUCCAGGGUGCUAGUGCACAGACAAACUUCAGCGAAUCAGAGCAGCCCUCGGACUCCUCACCCUCCUGGGGAUCGAAUGAGUCCUGCACAGCAGCAAAGCCAGAACAUCCGGCUCUCCAUCUCCCACCCUGUCCUCAGCACAGUCACCCAAAGGAGAACUGUCUGCCUCACGCCCCCACCCCAGUCCCCAUUCCUCCCUCCCAUCCUUCCCUGCAAUUCUCACCCAGAGCCCCAUGGCUGUACUGCACCUCCUCUCCUUAGCGCCCCCACCCAGGACCCUCCCAGGCCUGGUCCACCCCUCCUCACUUUCCUCCCUCUGGCUGAUUCUCAGCCACUUGCCCUGCAGGCUUGCCAGAGAGAGGAAGGUGGGGCAGGGAGAGGCCCUGCCCUCAGCGGCUCCUCCCCUCAGGCUCUUCCUGACUGGCCCAGAACAAGGGUGGGUUCCUGAAUUUCCAUUUCACAGGAACUUGCUACUGGAGCAAU